CAAUUACAACCCUAUGCGGUGGAUCACUUGGCUCGCGAGUCGAUGAAGAGCGCAGCAAACUGCGUGAAUUAAUGUGAUUUGCAGGACACAUUGAUCAUCGAUAUCUUGAACGCAUAUUGCGGUUAUGGAUCGCUUCCAUGACCACGCCUGUCUGAGGGUCGGUUUAAAUGUUUAAAAACGUGAAAGGCCCGAGAGCUUUUCAUCGGUCGUUAAAUGAUUUCAUUUAUCGACUUUAGAUGCAUAGUAACUAUUCGUAUAAUAGUUUAAAGGCACAAUUUAUUUCAU
rnacentral:rRNA from 1 species